AUCCAGAUGUCGAGUCCCAAAUAGGAUGAAACGCGCAUUCUGGAU
rnacentral:hammerhead_ribozyme from 1 species